CCUACGGGAGGCAGCAGUGGGGAAUAUUGCACAAUGGGCGAAAGCCUGAUGCAGCGACGCCGCGUGAGGGAUGACGGCCUUCGGGUUGUAAACCUCUUUCAGCAGGGAAGAAGCGAGAGUGACGGUACCUGCAGAAGAAGCGCCGGCUAACUACGUGCCAGCAGCCGCGGUAAUACGUAGGGCGCAAGCGUUGUCCGGAAUUAUUGGGCGUAAAGAGCUCGUAGGCGGCUUGUUGCGUCGGUUGUGAAAGCCCGGGGCUUAACCCCGGGUCUGCAGUCGAUACGGGCAGGCUAGAGUGUGGUAGGGGAGAUCGGAAUUCCUGGUGUAGCGGUGAAAUGCGCAGAUAUCAGGAGGAACACCGGUGGCGAAGGCGGAUCUCUGGGCCAUUACUGACGCUGAGGAGCGAAAGCGUGGGGAGCGAACAGGAUUAGAUACCCUGGUAGUCCACGCCGUAAACGUUGGGAACUAGGUGUUGGCGACAUCACGUCGUCGGUGCGCGNGCUACGACAUUAACGUUACCCGUCCCGUCGGGUAGGUACGGCCGGCCGACGGACGUAAACCGUACGAAAGUAAGUAAGUUAGUUACGGCGUGAGACGUGCCGACGGACGACGACGAGGGAGGAGG
rnacentral:rRNA from 1 species